rnacentral:rRNA from 1 species
UACGGGAGGCAGCAGUGGGGAAUAUUGCACAAUGGGCGAAAGCCUGAUGCAGCUAUGCCGCGUGUAUGAAGAAGGCCUUAGGGUUGUAAAGUACUUUCAUCGGGGAGGAAAAACAAAACUAAUAAUUUUAUUUCUUGACGUUACCCGAAAAAGAAGCACCGGCUAACUCCGUGCCAGCAGCCGCGGUAAUACGGAGGGUGCUAGCGUUAAUCAGAAUUACUGGGCGUAAAGAGCACGUAGGUGGUUUUUUUAAGUCAGAUGUGAAAUCCCCGGGCUUAACCUAGGAACUGCAUUUUGAAACUGAAAUACUAGAGUAUCGUAGAGGGAGGUAGAAUUCUAGGUGUAGCGGUGAAAUGCGUAGAUAUCUGGAGGAAUACCUGUGGCGAAAGCGGCCUCCUAAACGAAUACUGACACUGAGGGUGCGAAAGCGUGGGGAGCAAACAGGGAUUAGAUACCCGU